rnacentral:rRNA from 1 species
CCUACGGGAGGCUGCAGUGGGGAAUAUUGCACAAUGGGCGCAAGCCUGAUGCAGCCAUGCCGCGUGUGUGAAGAAGGCCUUCGGGUUGUAAAGCACUUUCAGCGGGGAGGAAGGCGUUAAGGUUAAUAACCUUGUCGAUUGACGUUACCCGCAGAAGAAGCACCGGCUAACUCCGUGCCAGCAGCCGCGGUAAUACGGAGGGUGCAAGCGUUAAUCGGAAUUAUUGGGCGUAAAGCGCACGCAGGCGGUCUGUCAAGUCGGAUGUGAAAUCCCCGGGCUCAACCUGGGAACUGCAUUCGAAACUGGCAGGCUAGAGUCUUGUAGAGGGGGGUAGAAUUCCAGGUGUAGCGGUGAAAUGCGUAGAGAUCUGGAGGAAUACCGGUGGCGAAGGCGGCCCCCUGGACAAAGACUGACGCUCAGGUGCGAAAGCGUGGGGAGCAAACAGGAUUAGAUACCCGUGUAGUC